rnacentral:rRNA from 1 species
UACAGAGGUCCCAAGCGUUGUUCGGAUUCACUGGGCGUAAAGGGUGCGUAGGUGGCAGGGUAAGUUUGAUGUGAAAUCUUCAAGCUCAACUUGGAAACUGCGUCCGAUACUAUUCGGCUAGAGGAAUGGAGGGGAGACUGGAAUACUUGGUGUAGCAGUGAAAUGCGUAGAUAUCAAGUGGAACACCAGUGGCGAAGGCGAGUCUCUGGACAUUUCCUGACGCUGAGGCACGAAAGCGUGGGGAGCAAACAGG